rnacentral:rRNA from 1 species
GAUGAACGCUGGCGGCGUGCCUAAUACAUGCAAGUCGAACGCUGGAGAUCUAGCUUGCUAGCUCGAAGGAGUGGCGAACGGGUGAGUAAUACAUAAGCAACCUACCCACGAAGACUGGGAUAAUCUCUGGAAACGGGGACUAAUACCGGAUAGGUAAUCGGAAGGCAUCUUCUGGUUAUUAAAGGUUACAAACACUGGUGGAUGGGCUUAUGGCGCAUUAGUUAGUUGGUGAGGUAACGGCCCACCAAGACGAUGAUGCGUAGCCGGCCUGAGAGGGUGAACGGCCACAUUGGGACUGAGACACGGCCCAGACUCCUACGGGAGGCAGCAGUAGGGAAUUUUCGGCAAUGGGGGCAACCCUGACCGAGCAACGCCGCGUGAGUGAAGACGGCCUUCGGGUUGUAAAGCUCUGUUGUAAGGGAAGAACGGUAGAUAGAGAAUAUCUAAGUGACGGUACCUUACCAGAAAGCCACGGCUAACUACGUG